rnacentral:rRNA from 1 species
GUGCCAGCAGCCGCGGUAAUACGUAGGUGGCAAGCGUUGUCCGGAAUUAUUGGGCGUAAAGCGCGCGCAGGCGGUUUCUUAAGUCUGAUGUGAAAGCCCACGGCUCAACCGUGGAGGGUCAUUGGAAACUGGGGAACUUGAGUGCAGAAGAGGAGAGUGGAAUUCCACGUGUAGCGGUGAAAUGCGUAGAGAUGUGGAGGAACACCAGUGGCGAAGGCGACUCUCUGGUCUGUAACUGACGCUGAGGCGCGAAAGCGUGGGGAGCGAACAUUGAAAAGAUACCCUGGUAGUCC